rnacentral:lncRNA from 14 species
GUCAAAUGUGUGCUCUAGGACAGAUUCGACUCCAGAGGAAGAUUAUAUUUCAACAAAAGGAGAAACAAUACGCACACGGACAUUUCAGUGGAACUAGUACAGCAUAGGACAAGUCACAAA